rnacentral:rRNA from 1 species
UGGGGAAUAUUGCACAAUGGGCGCAAGCCUGAUGCAGCCAUGCCGCGUGUAUGAAGAAGGCCUUCGGGUUGUAAAGUACUUUCAGCGGGGAGGAAGGCGAUAAGGUUAAUAACCUUGUCGAUUGACGUUACCCGCAGAAGAAGCACCGGCUAACUCCGUGCCAGCAGCCGCGGUAAUACGGAGGGUGCAAGCGUUAAUCGGAAUUACUGGGCGUAAAGCGCACGCAGGCGGUCUGUCAAGUCGGAUGUGAAAUCCCCGGGCUCAACCUGGGAACUGCAUUCGAAACUGGCAGGCUAGAGUCUUGUAGAGGGGGGUAGAAUUCCAGGUGUAGCGGUGAAAUGCGUAGAGAUCUGAAGGAAUACCGGUGGCGAAGGCGGCCCCCUGGACAAAGACUGACGCUCAGGUGCGAAAGCGUGGGGAGCAAACA